UAUUAUUUUAGCGGCGGACGGGUGAGUAACGUGUGGGUAACCUGCCUUUUACUGUGGAAUAAUCGUUGGAAACGACGACUAAUACCGCAUACGAUUUUCUGAAGGCAUCUUCGGAAAAAGAAAGGAAAUAUUCGGUAAAAGAUGGGCCCGCAUCUGAUUAGCUAGUUGGUGAGAUAAUAGCCCACCAAGGCAACGAUCAGUAGCCGACCUGAGAGGGUGACCGGCCACAUUGGGACUGAGACACGGCCCAAACUCCUACGGGAGGCAGCAG
rnacentral:rRNA from 1 species